CCGUUCACCUAGGCUGGCCCCCAGCCCACAGCUUCUCUCCCACCGAGGAUGGGCACGGCUAAUUGGUGCACUGGAGCCAAAGCCCCAGGAUGUGAGCGGUACAGGCGAGAAGAAAAUGCCUUCCUCCCUCCUGAGCCUCUCAGGCCAGUCUGCCUCUGGAUGCUCCCUGGCUUUCCAGCAAUUUCCCCUUUCCCUCCCCCUCCAGUUUCAGCAGGGACAGCAAAGGCCUGGGACAGGACAUACAGCAGGAAGGUCAGCCCCCUCCUCUUCCACCCCGUGGGCCAGUGGGACCCGCACAGGGUGAGGGCAGGCUCCGGCCAAAACGGUGGUGUUGACCCUCAAGAGCUGGGAACCUGACCCACGGGAAGAGAACUGGAAAAAAUCUGGAAUGCUCAUUUUACAGGUACUGAGGAAGAGAAAACUUCUUGGGCUCUAAAAAGUUCCUCAGCUGUAAAAUGAAAGGGUUAGACAAAGACCUCUGAUAGUCCCUGUCCGAGGGAUCUGAUACUCUCUGUUCUAAGGCCCCUCCGGCUCUGACAUUCUGGGUUCUAAACUCCCCACCAGCUCCGACAUUCUCUGCUCUAAGGACUCUCCCAGUUCUGACAUUCUGAGUUCUAAGCUUCCUCCUAACUCUCAUAUUCUGGGUUCUAAGGUCCCUCUAAGCUCAGACAUUCUCUGUUCUAAGCUCUCUCCAAGCUCUAACAUUCUAGUUUCUAAGCUUCCUCCCAGUUCUGACAUUCUCUGUUCUAAGGUCUCUUCAGGCUCUGAUAGUCUCUGUUCUAAGUCUUCUCCCAGUUCUGACGCUCUCUGUUUUAAGACUUCUCCCAGUUCUAAGUUCCCUCCCAGUUCUGACAUUCUGGGUUCUAAGGUUUCUCCCAGCUUUGAAAUCCUCUGUUCUAAGGUCUCUUCCAGCUCUGACAUUUUGGGUUCUAAGGUCCCUCCCAGCUCUGACAUUCUCUGUUCUAAGCUCUCUCCCAGCUCUGACAUUCUCUGUUCUAAGGUCUCUCCCAGCUCUGACAUUCUGGGUUCUAAGGUCUCUCCCAGCUCUGACAUUCUCUGAAAUUCUGGGUUCUAAGGUCUCUCCCAGCUCUGACAUUCUGGAUUCUAAGGUCUCUCCCAGCUCUGACACUCUCUGUUCUAAGGUCUCUCCCAGCUCUAACAUUCUCUGUUCUAAGGUCUCUCCCAGCUCUGACAUUCUCUGUUCUAAGUUCCCUCUCAGCUCUGACAUUCUCUGUUCUAAGGUCCCUCCCAUCUUUGACAUUCUGGGUUCUAAGGUCCCUCCUAGCUCUGACAAUCUCUGUUCAAAGGGCCUUCCUAGCCAUGACAUCCUACACUCCUUCCACCUGGGUUGA
rnacentral:lncRNA from 1 species